UACAGGGGGUGCAAACGUUGCUCGGAAUCAUUGGGCGUAAAGCGCACGUAGGCGGUUCGUUAUGUCGGAUGUGAAAGCCCUUGGCUUAACCGAGGAAGUGCAUCCGAAACUGGCGAGCUAGAGUACUAAAGAGGAUCGCGGAAUUCCCGGUGUAGAGGUGAAAUUCGUAGAUAUCGGGAGGAACACCGGUGGCGAAGGCGGCGAUCUGGGUAGAUACUGACGCUGAGGUGCGAAAGCGUGGGGAGCAAACAGGGAUUAAGAACCCCGG
rnacentral:rRNA from 1 species